CCUACGGGAGGCAGCAGUGGGGAAUAUUGCACAAUGGGCGAAAGCCUGAUGGAGCAACGCCGCGUGAGUGAAGAAGGAUUUCGGUUCGUAAAACUCUGUUGUAAGGGAAGAACAAGUACAGUAGUAACUGGCUGUACCUUGACGGUACCUUAUUAGAAAGCCACGGCUAACUACGUGCCAGCAGCCGCGGUAAUACGUAGGUGGCAAGCGUUGUCCGGAAUUAUUGGGCGUAAAGCGCGCGCAGGUGGUUUCUUAAGUCUGAUGUGAAAGCCCACGGCUCAACCGUGGAGGGUCAUUGGAAACUGGGGGACUUGAGUGCAGAAGAGGAGAGCGGAAUUCCACGUGUAGCGGUGAAAUGCGUAGAGAUGUGGAGGAACACCAGUGGCGAAGGCGGCUCUCUGGUCUGUAACUGACGCUGAGGCGCGAAAGCGUGGGGAGCGAACAGGAUUAGAUACCCUGGUAGUCCACGCCGUAAACGAUGAGUGCUAAGUGUUAGAGGGUUUCCGCCCUUUAGUGCUGCAGCAAACGCAUUAAGCACUCCGCCUGGGGAGUACGGCCGCAAGGCUGAAACUCAAAGGAAUUGACGG
rnacentral:rRNA from 1 species